GAUGAACGCUGGCGGCGUGCCUAAUACAUGCAAGUCGAGCGAACAGACGAGGAGGUUGCUCCUCUGACGUUAGCCGCGGACGUGAGAGUUACAUAUGGAUACCCUACCUAUAAGACUACGAUAACUUCGGGAAACCGGUGCUAAUAACGGACUCUAUAUUCAACCGCAUGGUUCGAUAGUUAAAGACGGUUUUGCUGUCCCUUAUAGCUAGAUCCGCGCCGCAUUAGCUAUUUGGUAAGGUAACGGCUUAUCAAGGCGACGAUGCGUAGCCGACCUGCGAGGGUGAUCGGCCACACUGGAACUGAGACACGGUACUGACUCCUACGGGAGGCAGCGGUAGGGAAUCGUGCGAAAUGGGCGGAAGCCUGACGGAUCAGCGCCAGGCUGGUGAAGCAGGUCUGCGGGUCGUAAAACGCUGUUAUUGGGGUAGAACAAAUUUGUCAGGAACUAAGCACUUCGUGACGGUACCUAAUGAGAAAGCCACGGCUAACUACGUG
rnacentral:rRNA from 1 species